UUUUAAGUGAUGCCUUGACCUUGGGGGAGGCCACUUCUUGCUCUGAACUUCAUGGGUCCAGUGAUGGCACGCAUGGUAGUGUCCUGGUGAAGGUCAAGCGAGGUGGCCCCAGCCAUGCACUAACCGGGCACGGCCCUGAGGACUUCAGUGUGGGGCACCGUCACCAACCCAUCUGCCCAAUGAGAAACCAAGUCCCAGAGAGCUUGAGAAACUUGCCCAAGGUCACAGGGACACGCGCAGAAGAAAAGAAGGCCACAGCACACAAGAACAAGAGGGCGGUGUGCAAGGAAGAGAUGCACAGCUAGAAGCAUCUAGAAGGGACUUCUCCAGCCCUGAGGCCGGUGGGGACAAGACUGUCGGCGCUCAGGGUGAGACCCACCCAUGCUGGGGAAGGCGCGCCUCCCCCCUCCCUCUGUCCCCCCUCUGCAGGGGUGCAGGGGCCGAUGCCCGCUUGGAAAUUCCAUCAUAGGCCCUACAGUCUCCUGCUGAAAAGCCCUGAGGCCCUCUGGGUUCACGGGCACUGUCGGCACGGGGCGCUGAGUCACGGAGCACCUCCGUCAGUCGUUCAUGAUUAAGGAAGCCGGGUGCACGUAGGCAGCGGGCAAACGUAAGGAGAGGCCAUGGGGACGAUCACCCACGCAUCCUGAAGGAAGGCCCCAGGGCCAAGGGAGCCCCGGGUGGCGUGAAAAGCCUUCAAUUAUUGCUGAUGACAACCUCCUGGCCAGCUUUAUGGGGCAGUUAAUGGGGAGUCCGAUCCAGACGUGAAGAGGUUCCUUGCGGGACGAAAGGUCAGCUGGAGGGGGGUGAUGGGACAGGGAUGGAGACAACUAGAAGAAAGAGACAAACCCACGGACCCGUCAGCAUGAGAAAUCCAGAAAGACCGGUCUGGGCCGGAGGCUGGCAGGUGCUGUCCUUCCAGCCCACACCCACCGCCGGCAGCCAAGGCUUGCCAGCACCCGCCGGUGGGGUGACCAUGACACCCUGGGCUCCCGGCACAUCUUGUCCCCUCCAAGCCCUACCCCAGCCUCAACGGCCCCCUCCACAACACAGCCUCUCAUUGCCCCCCCCCCGCUGGAAGCGUAGACUCCUAUGCCCUUAGGGAUCUGGUCAGAGACCCAGGAGUGCAGGAGGGCAGGUGCCCCCAGCCCCGGGCAGCCGUCACUUAGCUCCUGCUGGGGCUUGGUGUGCGGGAACGGGGGUCCAGGGCUGCCAGAGUUUUCUGUUGUGCCAGCAAGUCAGAAACCUAGAUUGUUUUUUAACCUUAAUUUCUAAACAUUGCAAUUCCAAAAUUACAGAGAGAAAUCUAGGUGCUGUACGAGCCGCAUGAAACUUGCCCAUAACCUGCUCUGCCCCGGCCUCAGAUGAAGUGGAAGCCUCGUGGACCCGCCUCUGGUCACCUCGCAAGGCUGCUCCCCUCAGGGAAUCAGGACUGCAAACACCAAUGCCAGGACACAGCCAGGGGUUCCCAGCACCCCGCCCCCACCCCUCAGAAAAGCAUCCCAGAACUCCCCAGGACUUGGACGAGAGCUCCACAAAGCCCGGGGCUUCAGCUGUCUCCUUCCUGCUACAUCCCCAGGGCCCCCCAAGCGACCGGCCGUCAGCAGGCGCCAAUAAACGCGUUAUGUCCAUGCCUCUUAAA